UACGUAGGGUGCGAGCGUUGUCCGGAAUUAUUGGGCGUAAAGAGCUCGUAGGCGGUCUGUCGCGUCGAUCGUGAAAACUUGGGGCUUAACCCUGAGCUUGCGGUCGAUACGGGCAUGACUGGAGUUCGGCAGGGGAGACUGGAAUUCCUGGUGUAGCGGUGAAAUGCGCAGAUAUCAGGAGGAACACCGGUGGCGAAGGCGGGUCACUGGCCCGUAACUGACGCUCAUGCACGACAGCGUGGGGAUCAAACAGG
rnacentral:rRNA from 1 species